rnacentral:rRNA from 1 species
UACGUAGGGAGCAAGCGUUGUUCGGAUUUACUGGGCGUAAAGGGCGCGUAGGCGCCUGUUAAGUCGGGACGUGAAAUCCCUCGGCUCAACCGGGGAACUGCGUCCGAUACUGGCGGGCUUGAAUUCGGGAGAGGGAUGUGGAAUUCCAGGUGUAGCGGUGAAAUGCGUAGAAUAUCUGGAGGAACACCGGUGGCGAAGGCGCAUCCUGGAC